UGUCAUGGGAGUUGGCAAUGCUUGAAGUCCGUGGGCUGACCCCGAGUAAUUGGGGAGGCAGCGGCCGAGGGCAGGGCCAGCGACUGGGACG
rnacentral:rRNA from 1 species